rnacentral:rRNA from 1 species
CCUACGGGAGGCAGCAGUGAGGAAUAUUGGUCAAUGUACGAGAGUCUGAACCAGCCAAGUAGCGUGAAGGAUGACUGCCCUAUGGGUUGUAAACUUCUUUUAUAAAGGACUAAAACGAGGCACGUGUGCCUUUUUGCAUGUACUUUAUGAAUAAGGAUCGGCUAACUCCGUGCCAGCAAACGCGGUAAUACGGAGGAUCCGAGCGUUAUCCGGAUUUAUUGGGUUUAAAGGGAGCGUAGAUGGGUUGUUAAGUCAGUUGUGAAAGUUUGCGGCUCAAACGUAAAAUUGCAAUUGAUACUGGCAGUCUUGAGUACAGUUGAGGUAGGCGGAAUUCGUGGUGUAGCGGUGAAAUGCUUAGAUAUCACGAAGAACCCCGAUUGCGAAGGCAGCUUACUAAACUGUGACUGACAUUGAUGCUCGAAAGUGUGGGUAUCAAACAGGAUUAGAUACCCCGGUAGUC